rnacentral:tRNA from 1 species
CCGUCGAUAGCUCAGUUGGUAGAGCGGUGGACUGUAGAUCCAUAGGUCGCUGGUUCGAAUCCGGCUCGAUGGA